AGAGUUUGAUCCUGGCUCAGAACGAACGCUGGCGGCGUGCUUAACACAUGCAAGUCGAACGCGAAAGUUUUCUUCGGAAAGCGAGUAGAGUGGCGCACGGGUGAGUAACGCGUAAAUAAUCUACCCUGGUGUCUGGGAUAACCAGCCGAAAGGCUGACUAAUACCGGCUAUAUGAUUAUCUGUUGGGAUAAUCAGGAAAGGUGGCCUCUAUUUAUAAGCUAUCGCACUGGGAUGAGUUUGCGUACCAUUAGCUAGUUGGUGGGGUAAAGGCCCACCAAGGCGACGAUGGUUAGCGGGUCUGAGAGGAUGAUCCGUCACACUGGCACUGGAACACGGACCAGACUCCUACGGGAGGCAGCAGUGAGGAAUAUUGCGCAAUGGGGGAAACCCUGACGCAGCGACGCCGCGUGGAUGAUGAAGGCCUUCGGGUCGUAAAAUCCUGUCAGAUGGAAAGAAGUGUAUAUGUGUUAAUAGCGCAUAUAUUUGACGGUACCAUCAAAGGAAGCACCGGCUAACUCCGUGCCAGCAGCCGCGGUAAUACGGAGGGUGCAAGCGUUGUUCGGAAUUACUGGGCGUAAAGCGCGCGUAGGUGGUUUGUUAUGUCAGAUGUGAAAGUCCACGGCUCAACCGUGGAAGUGCAUUUGAAACUGGCAGACUUGAGUACUGGAGGGGGUAGUGGAAUUCCCGGUGUAGAGGUGAAAUUCGUAGAUAUCGGGAGGAAUACCGGUGGCGAAGGCGACUACCUGGCCAGAUACUGACACUGAGGUGCGAAAGCGUGGGGAGCAAACAGGAUUAGAUAUCCUGGUAGUCCACGCCGUAAACGAUGUCAACUAGGUGUUGGGAUGGUUAGUCGUCUCAUUGCCGCAGCUAACGCAUUAAGUUGACCGCCUGGGGAGUAUGGUCGCAAGGCUAAAACUCAAAGGAAUUGACGGGGGCUCACACAAGCGGUGGAGGAUGUGGUUUAAUUCGA
rnacentral:rRNA from 1 species